rnacentral:rRNA from 2 species
AAAUUGAAGAGUUUGAUCAUGGCUCAGAUUGAACGCUGGCGGCAGGCCUAACACAUGCAAGUCGAACGGUAACAAGAAGCAGCUUGCUGCUUCGCUGACGAGUGGCGGACGGGUGAGUAAUGUCUGGGAAACUGCCUGAUGGAGGGGGAUAACUACUGGAAACGGUGGCUAAUACCGCAUAACGUCGCAAGACCAAAGAGGGGGACCUUCGGGCCUCUUGCCAUCAGAUGUGCCCAGAUGGGAUUAGCUUGUUGGUGAGGUAA